UUUGAUUAUAAUUUAAAGUCUGACCUGCCCAAUGAGGAGUUUAAUGGCCGCGGUAAUUUGACCGUGCAAAGGUAGCAUAAUCAUUAGUUUUUUAAUUGAAAGCUGGUAUGAAUGGUUGGACGAGAAAGUAACUGUCUCAAUUUAAUUGAAUUAGAAUUUUAUUUUUAAGUUAAAAAGCUUAAAUAAUUUUAAAAGACGAGAAGACCCUAUAGAGUUUUAUAUAUAGAUAUAUAUACAAGUAUUGGCAUAUAUGUUAAGUAUAUAAAUAUGUAUUUUGUUGGGGUGACAAAAAAAUUGAUUAAACUUUUUUUAUAUUGAAUCAUUAAUUUAUGAUUAAGUGAUCCGUUAUUUACGAUUAUAAGAUUAAAUUACCUUAGGGAUAACAGCGUAAUUCUUUUUAAGAGUUCUUAUCGAAAGGAGAGUUUGCGACCUCGAUGUUGGAUUAAAAUUUAUUUUUGGUGUAGAAGCUAGAAUAUUAGGUCUGUUCGACCUUUGAAAUU
rnacentral:rRNA from 1 species